GCCCCGGUGGCACAAUGGUUAAGCACUCAGCUGCUAACUGAAAGGCUGUUGAUUCAAAUCCACCCAGGUGCU
rnacentral:tRNA from 1 species